UUUCUCAUGACUCAAAACAAUUCCCGUAGCAUUGAAUAACACUUUCAAAGUCUUCAAUUUUUUCUGCAGAGAGAAUCUAUUAUCAGUGCAGCCUUCACAGCAAGCGGUGACAAAAUAAUAUUGAUUGGUAUGGCCAAGAAGACAGAGCCAUAGAAUCCUUCCCCAAGCACUUCCUGCGAACCCAAUCCAUAGUGAGCCAAUACAGGUUACAGUGGAUGAUGAGUGAGAAUAGUACAUUCCUGCGAACUCAAUCCACAGUGAGCCAAUACAGGUUACAGUGGAUGAUGAGUGAGAAUAGUACGGUGGAAUCCUUUGGUAGGCAGCAUAUACAGCAUAUGUAAACCUUUUCCUUGUAGGAUUUACUUUUAAAUUCACAGGGUCGUUUGCCCUUGGAGGGCUGGUGUUUGAUUGAACAUCCUUUUUGGCGUUUCAUAAAUUCGCUUCUAACUAGAGGCAAUUACAAGGGCAUAACUAUUCAGUGCCAAUCGUCCGAGGUCGUCUCUCUCUAUUCAGAUCCCCAAUUUGCAAAUAUAUUUCAUCAAUUUCAAAAACUCCCAAAUUUAUCCAAAAAUUCCAAAGGAAAUGGCGCUGAGUAAGUUCUACAGCGAGAUAAAGGAGUUGAAAGUGAAGGAAGUGCCCAACUAGGUAAAGCCGAUGCUAUCAAUAGAUUACGUGAAGAAAUAGGAGCAGAAAGCUUUGGACAGUUACCACGCCAAUUACAUGAAGACCAGCUCCAUUGAUCCUCUCUACCAUGAUGGCGGCAUGAUCUUUUCCAACCUGGUUGUCUUCCGGAGGAGCACUGCCACUUCGAGCACCAGCAACACUAAGGAGUAUGGCCACUGAUUCGUUGACUCAUCAAUUCAUCAUCUGUUAGUGAUUUAGUGAACUUCCUCUUGGAGCUUGGGUGCAUCAGGAGUUAGAACAGCAGAUGCCCUCAUCUGAUAUUCCAUCCAAAAUUCUUUGUCAAGUGAUCAAAAUUGAUCUUCAGCAAAGAGAGUUUACUGGCAGCAAUCCUGAACUCCUGAAACCUGCAGAAAGAUGCACGGUGAAUUCAUUUUAGAAAACACUUGCUGCUUCGGAUGUAAGCAAGCAUUGUACUUCAAAUAUUUAUCAAAAGCAUGCAUAGGAAUGUCUACCAGCAUUGGAUAUGCAGCAACAGACACCUUGUCAACAAUUGAUUGCGAAAGAUCUGCACGGCAACGAGUGGAAUUUCCAACAUGUUAAUCAGAGUAAGCAAUAGUUACAUUGCUAUUUCGUGACGCGAUGCUGAAUAAUUGUCUAGAGAUGGCAAUUAAUUAGCUACAUUGGCUGAAAUAUGCUUUCUAUUAUUUUGUAUGUGCUUUCUAUUAUUUUGUUCUACUGUAUAUGAUUGUUAAUUGAGAAUUUAUGGAAAUCGUGACAUUUUUGUUUUUUUUGUUAUAUCUAUGCAUUUAGAAUGGAGAAAGAGAAUCCAUAUAGCCGACCCCAAAUUUUUGGGAUAAAUGCUUAGUUGAGUUGAGUUGAGUUAUAUCUAUGCAUUUGCAUAUGUUUAGACUUGCAACUAAAAGCUAUACAUGUUUCUGUUCUAUAGGGUGUAAACAUCAACUUGAACACCCAGUUGCAGAAAGUCAGAAGGAGGAAAGAACAAUUUUAGUAAUAUUUUUAGAGGCCUGGAAUGCACAAAACGGUGGAGCUUUGGCCAUUCUGGUUUUAGAUGACAAGAAUGAACCAAUGAUUACAAUGGACACCCCUGAAGAAGAAAAUGCAGAUGCUGACUAUCUGCUAAGAUGUAUAAUAGCUCUGUACACGUUUUGUCCUUGUUGGAGGCUCCACCAGGAUUUCAAAGUAUAUAUAUAUAUUGUUUAAUUUUAUAUAUCCCUUAAUAAAAUUAUGGUGAUUUUAUUUUAUUCAAA